GUGAGGAAUUUUCCGCAAUGGGCGAAAGCCUGACGGAGCAAUGCCGCGUGAAGGAUGAAGGCCUAUGGGUUGUAAACUUCUUUUCUCAGAAAAGAAUUAUGACGGUAUCUGAGGAAUAAGCAUCGGCUAACUCUGUGCCAGCAGCCGCGGUAAGACAGAGGAUGCAAGCGUUAUCCGGAAUGAUUGGGCGUAAAGCGUCUGUAGGUUGUUUAAAAAGUAUUCUGUCAAAGAUUAGGGCUUAACCCUAGAUAGGCAGAAUAAACUUUUAAGCUAGAGUUUGGUAGAGGCAGAGGGAAUUCCCGGUGGAGUGGUGAAAUGCGUAGAUAUCGGGAGGAACACCAAAGGCGAAGGCACUCUGCUGGGCCAAUACUAACACUGAGAGACGAAAGCGAGGGGAGCAAAUGGGAUUAGAUACCCUGGUAGUCC
rnacentral:rRNA from 1 species